rnacentral:tRNA from 2 species
CGGGGCGUAGCGCAGUCUGGUAGCGCGCCUGCUUUGGGAGCAGGAUGUCGGGAGUUCAAAUCUCUCCGCCCCGACCA